CCGGCUUACCAACCCGAUGCAAACUGCGAAUACCGGAGAAUGUUAUCACGGGAGACACACGGCGGGUGCUAACGUCCGUCGUGAAGAGGGAAACAACCCAGACCGCCAGCUAAGGUCCCAAAGUCAUGGUUAAGUGGGAAACGAUGUGGGAAGGCCCAGACAGCCAGGAUGUUGGCUUAGAAGCAGCCAUCAUUUAAAGAAAGCGUAAUAGCUCACUGGUCGAGUCGGCCUGCGCGGAAGAUGUAACGGGGCUAAACCAUGCACCGAAGCUGCGGCAGCGACACUGUGUGUUGUUGGGUAGGGGAGCGUUCUGUAAGCCUGUGAAGGUGUGUCGUGAGG
rnacentral:rRNA from 1 species